rnacentral:rRNA from 1 species
UACGUAGGGGGCAAGCGUUGUCCGGAUUUAUUGGGCGUAAAGAGCUCGUAGGCGGUUCGGUAAGUCGGAUGUGAAAUCUCCAGGCUCAACCUGGAGGGGUCAUUCGAUACUGCCGUGACUAGAGUUCGGUAGGGGAGUGUGGAAUUCCUGGUGGAGCGGUGAAAUGCGCAGAUAUCAGGAGGAACACCCGUAGCGAAGGCGGCACUCUGGGCCGAUACUGACACUGAGGAGCGAAAGCGUGGGGAGCGAACAGG